UAAAUAUAGAACAUUCAAACUUGCACAAUUUCACCAUAUAAAGGCAACUAUUAUCCCACCCCAUUGACCCUCACAAUGACACGAUCUAAACUCUCGCAUCUAAUAUUUUUCCUCUUUACCUGAUCCCUACUCAUGCAUCUAAAACCACCUGAUCCAUACCCACGGAUCUAAAACUACAUGAUCCAUACUCACGGAUCUAAAACUAACCUCCUGAUCUGAUCCAUACUCCCGGAUCAAUAAUUGUACCAAAUCCAUACUCCCGGAAUAGGGACAAUUAACUAUACCUUAAUCCUGAUCUGAUCCAUACUCCCGGAUCUAUAAGUGUGCCCAAUCCAUACUCCCGGACUAGGGACAAUUAACUUAAUCUUAAUCCAUACUCCCGGACUAAUAGCAAGUUUAUCUCUUUACCUGAUCCAUACUCACGGAUCUAAAACUAACCUCUAAAUCUGAUCCCUACUCACGGAUCUAAACUGACCUCUUGAUUUGAUCCCUACUCACGGAUCUAAACUAACCUCUUGAUCUGAUCCCUACUCGCUGAAUAACUAGAUCAACAACAACAACAUCGGGGCCUCUCAUCUGUUUAUCACACAUCAACUGUCUCCCCAUGUUCUACCCAACAUAUUAGUAGAUAAAAAUAUAUAUUUUUAUCCAUAGUUUGAAACCUGUAUAACAUUCUCAUUCAAUACCUAUUCCACAUAACAGAUGAGGCACACCCACAUAACACGUAUUUCAUAGAGAAUAAAUCAGAUCUAUGAGAUAGAAGAAAGUGAAUAUACAUUCACACACAUAACAACAAAACCAUACACAUAACACGUAUUUCGUAUAAAAUACUUCAUAAUUAUGCGUUAGAAGAAAGUAACCACACACUCACUUGAUUAGAAGAUGAUCGGACAGCACUACGACUCACAGAAGUAGUAUUCUCCGGUAGAU
rnacentral:lncRNA from 1 species